AAAAAUUUAGUUAAAAAAUAACAUUAACUUGUCAUGUUAAAAUUGUUUAUAUAAACAAUUUUUA
rnacentral:tRNA from 1 species